rfam:Firmicutes bacterium CAG:24 genomic scaffold, scf59
GAUCGACUCUCUGGAGACACCCGGAUCAGCCGGGGGCCGAAGGUGCAACAUACGAAUUUCUCGUAUGAAUCUCUCAGGUAAAAGGACAGAGAAGAUAUU